UACGUAGGGUGCGAGCGUUAAUCGGAAUUACUGGGCGUAAAGCGUGCGCAGGCGGUGCGCCAAGCUCGAUGUGAAAGCCCCGGGCUUAACCUGGGAAUUGCAUUGAGGACUGGCGUGCUCGAGUGCGGCAGAGGGGGGUGGAAUUCCACGUGUAGCAGUGAAAUGCGUAGAGAUGUGGAGGAACACCGAUGGCGAAGGCAGCCCCCUGGGCUAACACUGACGCUCAUGCACGAAAGCGUGGGGAGCAAACAGG
rnacentral:rRNA from 1 species